GUCGUUGUUUGCGGGUGUGGCAUCAUCAAGAUUCACACAUGCAAUUAACUGAUAAAGUUGUUUGAAAGUGAGAAUCUUGAUGAUGCUGCAUCGGCAAUAAACCAC